rnacentral:rRNA from 1 species
CAAAGGCUUGGUCCUGACUUUUCUAUCAUCUUUAGCUGAGCUUACACAUGCAAGUUUCCGCCCCCCCGUGAGAAUGCCCUACAGUUCCCCUACCCGGGAACAAGGAGCUGGUAUCAGGCACAAAUCCCAAGGACUUCUGCCCACGACACCUUGCUUAGCCACACCCCCAAGGGACCACAGCAGUGACCGACAUUAAGCUAUAAGUGAAAACUUGACUUAGUCACAGCUAUUAGGGCCGGUAAAACUCGUGCCAGCCACCGCGGUUAUACGAGAGGCCCAAGUUGAUAGACGCCGGCGUAAAGAGUGGUUAAGUAACUUGAUUAAACUAAAGCCGAACGCCCCCAAGACUGUUACACGUGCUCGGAGGCAUGAAGCCCAACUACGAAAGUGGCUUUACCUACACCUGAACCCACGAAAGCUGUGAAACA